CUCAUAACAGAAACAGUGCUAGGGAGAGAGGAGGAAGGAAGAGAGAGAAGAAACUUGAACUAAAGGGUAUAAUGAUGACAAAAAAGAUCCUCUCAACCACCUGCUGAGGAACACAAACAACAGACAUGCCCUGUCUUGGCGCUCCACACCCACAUACCACCCUGGAAAAGCCACCACUUACCCUGGGCAUCUCCUCCCGAGGUCAGCACGGCGAUGGCCCGACCCACUCCCAUCUUGGUGGGAUCAGUGGCAGCCGUUUGUGCCAUGGUCCUGGAGCUGAAGCUGGCUGAGGGAAAGAGGCCUUGAGUGUAAAAAUCCCUGUCACCCUGCUGUACUGUAUGGAGUA